rnacentral:rRNA from 1 species
AACGUAGGAGACAACCGUUAUCCGGAGUUACUGGGCGUAAAGGGCGUGUAGGCGGUUUGUUAAGUCUGGCGUGAAAGCUCUCGGCUAAACCGGGAGAGGUCGUUGGAUACUGGCGGACUUGAGGGAUGCAGAGGAAAGUGGAAUUCCCGGUGUAGUGGUGAUAUGCGUAGAUAUCGGGAGGAACACCAGUGGCGAAGGCGGCUUUCUGGGCAUUUCCUGACGCUGAGACGCGAAAGCGUGGGGAGCGAACCGG